AACACAUAACAAAAAAUGCCCAGGGAAUGGAAGUGGGUGUGUGUGCGAUCGUGAGGAGAGACCAGGGGAAACCUUCCCCUCAAAACCCUAACACCUCUCAAAUCAUCAAAUUAAGAAGAAAAUUGAAGGUCAAUCGAAUGCAUGUGAUCAAUUCCUUAGUCAUCUAAGGGUUUCCCAUCAUGGGGAGCGUGAUCUUGAUGAAAAGAUAGUAUAGGAAUCAUGUCAAGACGGACUCAAGCAUAAAUGGAUAACGGGUCAAGAAAAGGGCGAGGAAUCGGAUACGAGCACGGACGCAUAAGGUAAGUGAUUUCCGUAAUCACUUCUUAAUUCAAGUAAGUAAUUAAGUGUUGUGAUUAAUUAAACAUGAUGUUUGAGGUCAAAUAUGUGUUAAAGUCUUUCGUCGUAAACGAUGGAUUAAAUUUGACCAAAAUGCCCUCGAUGGGUAUUUUGGGGUAAACGAUCUUAAAAAUAGUUUAGAAACAAGUUAUUCGAUUAGUGUAAUGUUUUGGACAAGUAUGGAUGUGGGGAUGAUGGUUUGGUUAGUCAUAGACCAAUUAAUACGCGAAUACCCUUAACGGGUCAAAAUAUAUGAACGAUAAUGUGUUAAGAGGAUGUAAGACAUCCAAGAAUUUGGUAAUUUAUGAGAGACGUCACUGAUAUUAUUAUGUUUAUAAGAGGUUAUGGUAAAACAAACAGAUUAUGUUGAUUAAUGCACGAACGGGUCAAAUAAUUAGAAGAUAAUAAUAAGCCGAAUGCAGGUAAGUUAAGAAUUUCCUUAAUCCAUAUGUGGGAUUUUAAGUUCAUAUGAUAGAAUGUGAAUUUACAAGCAUGUAGGAAGAAACGUGAGGUUAAACGGACAAUCGGGUUAAAAGUUAUGCGAGUUUUAGUGGGCGUGUUGUAUCUGCACCCGGAGUAUGGAACGCCGGAUUUGGGAGUAUGGAACGCCGGGCAGAAACCUAAACGCCCAUACUUCACUGUCAAACGCUGGUUCCAUGUUAAAGUGAACGUCGGGGUGUUCCAAACAAGCCUAGAUCACUAUAAAGCUGAGUCUAAGACCCAUGUAAAUAAUGUAUGAUUAUGUAAGAGGUACGCGUGAUCUAGUACGUGUUCGUUAAGGUAUGUACGUAUGUAGAUGUGUAUGUAUGUAUGUAUGUAUGUAUAAAGGUAUGUACGAGUGUAUGCAUGUAUGUAAAGAUGUAGGAAAGGUAUGUACGUAUGUAGAUGUGUAUGUAUGUAUGUAUAAAGGUAUGUACGAGUGUACGCAUGUAUGUAAAGAUGUAGGAAAGGUAUGUACGUAUGUAGAUGUGUAUGUACGUAUGUAUCAAGAUAUGUAUGAGUGUAUGCAUGUAUGUAAAGAUGUAGGAAAGGUAUGUAUGUAUGUAUGUAUGUAAUUGUGUAAAUGCCCCGUACUGCGCUUUGAUGACUUAAAAGUGCAGAAAUUGGUAUAAACGGGUCAAAACAGCAAAGUAGGAAAGAUAUGCAGAAGCUACCGUAAAUUACUGUACCACCGUAAUUUACGGUGGAGGGUAAAUCUUUAUGGUGGUUCUUUACUGAUUUACGGUAGAACCAUAAACGUCCAACGCCCACCGUAAAUUACGGUGACCACCGUAAUUUACGGUGGAGCCCAGCCAAAAUUGUCAAGUUAUGUAUAAUUUCAUAUUUCGAAUCCGUUUUAAGCGUAUACUUAAUUAUGUGAAAAUUGAAGGAUUCUAACAUUAUUAUCUUGUUAAAUUUGUAUGUAUGUAGAUGUGAAUGUAUGUUGUAUGUAAGUACGUAUGUAAGCAUGAUUUAGACACGUUGAGUGUUAACGUUUUUAAUGGUGUACCUUGAGAAUGAAAAGUAAUGCAGGUACAUUACUGAAGCCUCACCAGGAAAUGGAUACGCAGAUGAAAUGCUUAAAGUUUGAAAAAUGACGAAUAGUGAAGUGUACGUGAAUGAAUCUUGUUUAUAUAAUGUGUGCUAAUGUAUGAAUGAAUGUGGUGAGUGCAGGUUGUACGAAUCACGGAUUAACCUCACAAGGAGUAGCGAUCGAAGAUCGAGUCACAAGAUAGAUUGUACGGGAAUGUUUACAUAUGUAAUUUAGUGAUGAUAAGUUAUGUUUUUAUAUUUUAAAGUGGACUUUCAAGUAAGACAAAACGUUUAUAAUGAAUGAAAUUUUAGGGUACGUAUUUCCGCUGCGA